CUAACCUCUAAAAAAUUAGUUACACAUAGUUCUCAAAAUAAACCAAAAGAAAGACAUGAGUUUGAGAAGAUAAAACCGAGAGAAGAGAAUGCCAAGAUUUCCUCCUUCCUUUCCUUCCUUUCUCAACGCAGCAGCCUUGCUUUUUUUUCCUUCCUUUCCUUCCUUUUUUUUCUAUCUUUUUUUCUCUAAAGAACUCCCCUUUGCUGCUGCAACCUGCAGCCUUUAUGCCCAUGCUUGCUGCCCCAUUUCUGCUCCAUAACUCACCCCACUAACUGCCAUUUAGUGAUGACAAUAAGUG
rnacentral:lncRNA from 1 species